AUUGAACGCUGGCGGCAUGCCUUACACAUGCAAGUCGAACGGCAGCACGGACUUCGGUCUGGUGGCGAGUGGCGAACGGGUGAGUAAUGUAUCGGAACGUACCUUUCAGUGGGGGAUAACGUAGCGAAAGUUACGCUAAUACCGCAUAUUCUGUGAGCAGGAAAGCAGGGGAUCGAAAGACCUUGCGCUGAUUGAGCGGCCGAUAUCAGAUUAGCUAGUUGGUGGGGUAAAGGCCUACCAAGGCGACGAUCUGUAGCGGGUCUGAGAGGAUGAUCCGCCACACUGGAACUGAGACACGGUCCAGACUCCUACGGGAGGCAGCAGUGGGGAAUGUUGGACAAUGGGGGCAACCCUGAUCCAGCCAUGCCGCGUGAGUGAAGAAGGCCUUCGGGUUGUAAAGCUCUUUCGGCCGGGAAGAAAUCGCAUAGGCUAAUACCCUGUGUGGAUGACGGUACCGGAAUAAGAAGCACCGGCUAACUACGUG
rnacentral:rRNA from 1 species